UGGGGAAUUUUGGACAAUGGGGGAAACCCUGAUCCAGCCAUCCCGCGUGUGCGAUGAAGGCCUUCGGGUUGUAAAGCACUUUUGGCAGGAAAGAAACGUCGCGGGUUAAUACCCCGCGAAACUGACGGUACCUGCAGAAUAAGCACCGGCUAACUACGUGCCAGCAGCCGCGGUAAUACGUAGGGUGCAAGCGUUAAUCGGAAUUACUGGGCGUAAAGCGUGCGCAGGCGGUUCGGAAAGAAAGAUGUGAAAUCCCAGAGCUUAACUUUGGAACUGCAUUUUUUAACUACCGGGCUAGAGUGUGUCAGAGGGAGGUGGAAUUCCGCGUGUAGCAGUGAAAUGCGUAGAUAUGCGGAGGAACACCGAUGGCGAAGGCAGCCUCCUGGGAUAACACUGACGCUCAUGCACGAAAGCGUGGGGAGCAAACAGGAUUAGAUACCCUGGUAGUCCACGCCCUAAACGAUGUCAACUAGCUGUUGGGGCCUUCGGGCCUUGGUAGCGCAGCUAACGCGUGGAGUUGACCGCCUGGGGAGUACGGUCGCAAGAUUAAAACUCAAAU
rnacentral:rRNA from 1 species